GGUAAGAUGCCUGAAUUUAAAGGGUCACUUUGAUAGAGUGGAUAAUGUAAAUUAUUUUACUCUUACUA
rnacentral:tRNA from 1 species